rnacentral:rRNA from 1 species
GACGAACGCUGGCGGCGUGCUUAACACAUGCAAGUCGAACGGUGAAGCGCCUUCCUUUUUGGUGGGUGUGGAUGAGUGGCGAACGGGUGAGUAACACGUGAGUAACCUGCCCCCUUCUUCUGGAUAACCGCAUGAAAGUGUGGCUAAUACGGGAUAUUCUGGGUCUGUCGCAUGAUGGGUCUGGGAAAGAUAUUGUUUCGGUGGGGGAUGGGCUCGCGGCCUAUCAGCUUGUUGGUGGGGUGAUGGCCUACCAAGGCGGUGACGGGUAGCCGGCGUGAGAGGGUGGACGGUCACACUGGGACUGAGACACGGCCCAGACUCCUACGGGAGGCAGCGGUGGGGAAUAUUGCACAAUGGGCGCAAGCCUGAUGCAGCGACGCCGCGUGAGGGAUGGAGGCCUUCGGGUUGUGAACCUCUUUCGGCAGUGAAGCAGGCCUGCCUCGUUUGUGGGUGGGUUGACGGUAGCUGGAUAAGAAGCGCCGGCUAACUACGU